rnacentral:rRNA from 1 species
GACGAACGCUGGCGGCGCGCCUAACACAUGCAAGUCGAACGGAGUUAGUUUGACGGAUUCUUCGGAUGACGGAAAAUUGACUUAGUGGCGAACGGGUGAGUAACGCGUGAGCAAUCUGCCUUAAAGAGGGGGACAACAGUUGGAAACGACUGCUAAUACCGCAUAAGCCCACACUACCGCAUGGUAGAGUGAGAAAAGAUUUUAUCGCUUUAAGAUGAGCUCGCGUCUGAUUAGCUAGUUGGUGGGGUAACGGCCUACCAAGGCAACGAUCAGUAGCCGGACUGAGAGGUUGAUCGGCCACAUUGGGACUGAGACACGGCCCAGACUCCUACGGGAGGCAGCAGUGGGGAAUAUUGGUCAAUGGACGAGAGUCUGAACCAGCCAAGUAGCGUGAAGGAUGACCGCCCUAUGGGUUGUAAACUUCUUUUGUUUGGGAAUAAAGUGAGGGACGUGUCCCUUUUGUAUGUACCAUUCGAAUAAGCAUCGGCUAAUUCCGUGCCAGUAGCCGCGG